rnacentral:rRNA from 1 species
CACGUAGGGGGCUAGCGUUGUCCGGAAUCAUUGGGCGUAAAGCGCGUGUAGGCGGUCCGGUAAGUCCGCUGUGAAAGUCGGGGGGCUCAACCCUCGAAUGCCGGUGGAUACUGUCGGGCUAGAGUGCGGAAGAGGCGAGUGGAAUUCCUGGUGUAGCGGUGAAAUGCGCAGAUAUCAGGAGGAACACCUAUUGCGAAGGCAGCUCGCUGGGACGUAACUGACGCUGAGACGCGAAAGCGUGGGGAGCAAACAGG